GGUUUUUCCAUGAUUACAUUAGCAAAUAAAAGUCCAGGUGAAUUUUUCUGCAUUUGCGUCGAGAAAGUGAAAGAGAAUUAUCUGCUUUUCUGAUUGAAAAAAUUGUCUUUUAAACAGGGAAAUAACAACAAAAAUGCGUGUCUUAAUCAUUUACACUAUUUUGUUGUUUGUGAAUCUUCUAAUCGGAUGCGGAAGGCUGGCACAGUUCCAAAGUGCAAUCCAUUCUGCCACACCAAAAGUUUCAGGGCUAAGAUUUCAGCGUUUAGUUCAUAGGGAAAGCACACAGCUUGACAGAAAUGUACAAGAUCCAUGGCACAGGAACGAAUUUACAAAUCUACGGAUAAUCAACGUUUCCGUUACCAACGCACUGUGUGCCUUUUGUGAGAAUUACGCUAGAUAUAGAUAUUUUUGUAGAGGAAAGUUGUGCUCCAUGCAAAGCAAUUCGAAGUCUACUAUGUUAGUUUAAGAUUUUAUUUCGCCUUCUGUACAUAUUUAAGCACGUUCAAUAUUUCCUAUAAUUAAAAAAUAUAUAUAAGGGCCUACAUACAUAUAAUCAGAUGUCAUUAAUGUACUAUGUAUACGCAAUAAAGUAUAUUUACCUUUGUAA